GACGAACGCUGGCGGCGUGCUUAACACAUGCAAGUCGAACGGAAAGGCCCCUUUGGGGGUACUCGAGUGGCGAACGGGUGAGUAACACGUGAGUAACCUGCCCUUGACUUCGGGAUAACUUCCGGAAACUGGGGCUAAUACCGGCUAGGAAUCCUUGCUGCAUGGUGGGGGUUGGAAAGCUUCGGCGGUUUUGGAUGGACUCGCGGCUUAUCAGCUUGUUGGUGGGGUAGUGGCUUACCUAGGCUUUGACGGGUAGCCGGCCUGGGAGGGCGACCGGCCACAUUGGGACUGAGAUACGGCCCAGACUCCUACGGGAGGCAGCAGUGGGGAAUAUUGCACAAUGGGCGGGAGCCUGAUGCAGCAACGCCGCGUGCGGGAUGACGGCCUUCGGGUUGUAAACCGCUUUCAGCAGGGGCGAAGCUUGUGGUGACGGUACCUGCAGAAGAAGCACCGGCUAACUACGUG
rnacentral:rRNA from 1 species